UGGUAUCCCAUGGGGGCGAGGCCUGACGCAGCACGCCGUGUGAGGGAUGAAGGCUUUCGGGUCGUAAACCUCUGUCGGAAGGGAAGAACGGGCAUUGGUCUAAUAGGCCUUUGUUUUGACGGUACCUUUAGAGGAAGCACCGGCUAACUCCGUGCCAGCAGCCGCGGUAAU
rnacentral:rRNA from 1 species